CCUACGGUAGGCAGCAGUGGGGAAUAUUGCACAAUGGGGGAAACCCUGAUGCCGCGACGCCGCGUGAGUGAAGAAGUAUUUCGGUAUGUAAAGCUCUAUUAGCAGGGAAGAUAAUGACGGUAUCUGAUUAAGCAGCCCCGGCUAACUACGUGCCAGCAGCCGCGGUAAUACGUAGGGUGCAAGCGUUAUCCGGAGUUACUGGGUGUAAAGGGAGCGUAGGCGGCAGCGCAAGUCUGGAGUGAAAUGCCGGGGCUUAACCCCGGAACUGCUUUGGAACCUGUGCAGCGAGAGUGCAGGAGAGGUAAGUGGAAUUCCUAGUGUAGCGGUGAAAUGCGUAGAUAGUAGGAGGAACACCAGUGGCGAAGGCGGCUUACUGGACUGUAACUGACGUUGAGGCUCGAAAGCGUGGGGAGCAAACAGGAUUAGAUACCCUUGUAGUC
rnacentral:rRNA from 1 species